UACGGAGGGUGCGAGCGUUGUCCGGAAUCAUUGGGCGUAAAGGGCGCGUAGGUGGCCCGGUCAGUUCGUGGUGAAAGCGCGGGGCUCAACCCUGCGUCGGCCAUGAAUACUGCCGCGGCUGGAGCACUGUAGAGGCAGGCGGAAUUCCGGGUGUAGCGGUGGAAUGCGUAGAGAUCCGGAAGAACACCGGUGGCGAAGGCGGUCUGCUGGGCAGUUGCUGGACGC
rnacentral:rRNA from 1 species